ACGAACGCUGGCGGCGUGCUUAACCCAUGCCAGUCGAACGGAAAGGCCCUGCUUUUGUGGGGUGCUCGAGUGGCGAACGGGUGAGUAACACGUGAGUAACCUGCCCUUGACUUUGGGAUAACUUCAGGAAACUGGGGCUAAUACCGGAUAGGAGCUCCUGCUGCAUGGUGGGGGUUGGAAAGUUUCGGCGGUUGGGGAUGGACUCGCGGCUUAUCAGCUUGUUGGUGGGGUAGUGGCUUACCAAGGCUUUGACGGGUAGCCGGCCUGAGAGGGUGACCGGCCACAUUGGGACUGAGAUACGGCCCAGACUCCUACGGGAGGCAGCAGUGGGGAAUAUUGCACAAUGGGCGGAAGCCUGAUGCAGCAACGCCGCGUGCGGGAUGACGGCCUUCGGGUUGUAAACCGCUUUCGCCUGUGACGAAGCGUGAGCGACGGUAAUGGGUAAAGAAGCACCGGCUAACUACGUG
rnacentral:rRNA from 1 species